GAAGGGUGCAAGCGUUACUCGGAAUUACUGGGCGUAAAGCGUGCGUAGGUGGUUUGUUAAGUCUGUCGUGAAAUCCCCGGGCUCAACCUGGGAAUGGCGAUGGAUACUGGCAAGCUAGAGUGAGGUAGAGGAGAGUGGAAUUCCCGGUGUAGCAGUGAAAUGCGUAGAGAUCGGGAGGAACAUCAGUUGCGAAGGCGGCUCUCUGGACCAUCACUGACACUGAGGCACGAAAGCGUGGGGAGCAAACAGGAUUAGAUACCCUGGUAGUCCACGCCCUAAACGAUGCGAACUGGACGUUGGGCUCAAUUAGGAGCUCAGUGUCGAAGCUAACGCGUUAAGUUCGCCGCCUGGGGAGUACGGUCGCAAGASKG
rnacentral:rRNA from 1 species